rnacentral:rRNA from 1 species
CCUACGGGCGGCAGCAGUGGGGAAUAUUGGGCAAUGGGCGCAAGCCUGACCCAGCGACGCCGCGUGAGGGAAGACGUUCUUCGGAUUGUAAACCUCUUUCAGCAGGGAAGACAAAAGGACGGUACCUGCAGAAGAAGCCACGGCUAACUACGUGCCAGCAGCCGCGGUAAUCCGUGGGUGGCAAGCGUUAUCCGGAAUUACUGGGUGUAAAGGGUGUGUAGGCGGGGAUGCAAGUCAGAUGUGAAACUUAUGGGCUCAACCCAUAACCUGCGUUUGAAACUGUAGAUCUUGAGAGUGGGAGAGGUAAACGGAAUUCCCGGUGUAGCGGUGAAAUGCGUAGAUAUUGGGAGGAACACCAGUGGCGAAGGCGUCUUACUGGACCACAACUGACGCUGAGACACGAAAGCGUGGGGAGCAAACAGGAUUAGAUACCCUUGUAGUC